rnacentral:rRNA from 1 species
AUUGAACGCUGGCGGCAGGCUUCACACAUGCAAGUCGAGCGGAGCGGGGUCGCCGGCACUGUAGCUUAGCGGCGCACGGGUGAGCAAUGCUUAGGAUUCUGCCUAUAAGUUGGGGAAAACAUGCCGAAAUGAAUGCAAAUACCGCAUACCCCCUACGGCGCAAAGCGGGGGAUCUAUAGCACCUUGCGCGAUGCUUUGAGCCUCAGUCGGAUUAGCUAGUUGGGUGGGUAGAGGCCUACCAAGGCGACGAUCUGUAGCGGGUCUGAGAGGCUGAUCCGCCACACUGGGACUGAGACACCGCCCAGACGCCUACGGGAGGCAGCAGUGGGGAAUAUUGGACAAUGGGGGGAACCCUAAUCCAGCCAUUCCGCGUGUGUGAAGUAGGCCUUAUGGUUGUAAAGCUCUUUAAGCGAGGAGGAGGCUCUUUUGGUUAAUACCCAAGAUGAGUGGACGUUACUCGCAGAAUAAGCACCGGCUAACUCUGUGCCAGCAGCCGCAGUAAUAC